UUUGUUAUAUUUUCCCUUCAGGUACAAGACGUUUUUCGACGAUAGUCGUAAUAUCGCCUGGUUUACGGCAUGUGUCGUAAUCCUGUUAAUAACGACGAUUCUGAUUUGUUGGAUGUGCUUUUCAUUCUGUGGAAGUAGUUCGCCAUAUUCGCCAUAUUAUAAAUUCAAAUGUUGCAGAAUAUGGGACGAACCUGUUCGGAAACGGCGGAACUGGGGCGAGUAUCAACGUGAAAAUUAUUAUAGGCAGAUGGAACCAAUCAGAGAAAGUCGAAGGCCUCAAAGAAGGCCUAAUGGAUACCAGUUCUGGUCAACAGAUAAUUAAACAAUAGAAUGAUCGAAGGUGAAUGUCUUGGCCUUUAAUCCUGCAGCGAAAUUUACUACUCUGACUGUAGAACAAACAAAGUAGUGUGAAAAGGCCUUUAGGAACGUUAUAUUUCUAGUACUUUAUGUACUUUUGUAAUAAAAAAGGAUCUUUUGUGUUAAAAACUAUUUUCCUGUCGAUUAUGGAAGUGAUAGUUUGUCAAAUAUAUUUAUGAUUCAAUUAAUGAUUUGAUACUUUUGCUUUGUCGAAUAGUUUAUAUUUGAUUUUAAGGCACAUUAUGUCUCAUAAACAAAUAAAUUGUUUAUUUUAUCUUCUUGUAUGAAAGGGCAACAGAAAGUUUAUGAAAUUGAUAUUACAGUGUUUUAAUAUGUAAUAUGUUUGUUCUCUGAAUAAAGUAGCACUUAUGUGAAAUAAUUUGUCAUUUAAGUAGGAAAAUGUAAACAAAGUAGUAUUUUGACUUCCAUACCAAAUACUAACUCACUAUAACUGAACUGAUUGCUAAAACUAUCCAAAGUGAAAUAAAGUUAUUAUGUUAAUUAUUAUAUGUAAUUAUUUUCUGUGGAUUUUACCUACUUUGAAAGCAUAUAAGACAUCACAUGCUGCACAAAAUUCAAACCUCUUGUUUUGUUCGAAGUAGUCGAUAAUUAGUUUUAAGGAAUAUACAUGUAUGUUCAACUUUCAAAGUAAUGUAAAAAGUAGUCAUUGGAGCUUUCAUCUUCGCUUUUCAAAAAAAAAAUAAAUAAAAAUAAGCAACACAAUACAAAAUUGCAACUCGAUAUUGUCGAGAUUAGAUCAAAUACUUUCCAAAUGUUUCAAUAUACAAGACCACAGCCCCCUACCCCCUUAACGAAAAAAUAACAAUUUAAUAAUGCAUUGUAAGCAUAGGCUUAUAAAUACGCUUUGCAACGACAGCGAUCAUAGUAAGUAGAGUGAAGUUUAAUAUUUUUUGCAAGACCAUCUCCGGAGAUGGUUAUGGUCACACUUCCUUGUUAGAAACAAUUUAACAUAACACCGCCCUUGAUUUAACCCCGCCUACAAACUAUUCCCGUUAAGGAGUAUACUACUCUGUUAAUCAUUUGAAAGAUGUCAUAGUUACACACAUGUUCUAUGCUUUGAACAUCGUUUUCAUUUUAAAGAUUUCU